UUACCACUACCAGAACCGAGUUUUUGACUCUGCUCUUCAACUUCAACAGUAGUAGCAGUUGACUGAUUGAACUCCGCCUUGGAAACUGCCAGAGCUGGUGGCUUAGAGUUAGGGUCAGAAGGUUGAGAUGCUAGUGGUGGUGGAGAGAAGCCGUGGCUGAGAGAAAAAUGAUCAGAUGAAAGAGGAGAAUCAACAGGAGAAUGAUCAGAUGGUGGUGAUUGAGCUUUUGGAAUAGUCUUUGGUGGUGUUGACCUCUUGCUUAAUGGAAAUCGUGAUACUGUGUGAUUGUGCUUAUUUUCUGCUUCUUCUUCAAGAGAGUUAGGGUCAGAAGGUUGAGAUGCUAGUGGUGGUGGAGAGAAGCCGUGACUGAGAGAAGAAUGAUCAGAUGAAAGAGGAGAAUCAACAGGAGAAUGAUCAGAUGGUGGUAAUUGAGCUUUUGGAAUAGUCUUUGGUGGU
rnacentral:lncRNA from 1 species